ensembl:lncRNA
CUGUGUCUGUUUCUUGUUGGUGGGCGUGCCCUUAACCUGUGUCCGCGUCCCAGUUUCAUUGACGUAAUCAAACAGACCACCAACUCCCUGAUAUGAUGACAGAUGACAAAAGAAAAGAGCUGCAAGUGGAGACGUCCCAACAACAGCGGAAGACGCUCGUGUUAUUCGUUGUUGUUGAUUCUGAGGAUUCUGAUUGGCUUGCAUGGCUUUAUCCUUCUCCCUACACCUACACCCAUAGGUUUGGCAUAGUUGUAAUGUCUCAACGGCGUAUUUAUCAGUUUUGAUGUAAAUGACAACUUUUUUGAAAACAAUGUUGUGUGCACAAUGUUAUUUUUGAAAACGGAGGGGGGGAAAUAUUCGUUUCUAUAAAUACCCUGCUACGUAUAAACGUGGCCUCAGUGUUUGUUAAACCUCCGUUCGUGGAACACCCCUCAGGUUUAGUGAAAACUCUGAGUUAAUUAACACUGAGAUGAGGGAAACUCUGUUUUUUCAGUUUCACAAAGCCAGUUCAGCUUUACUCUGAGUCAGUUACCCUGGC